UUUGGGGGAUCAGGAGCUGUUUUUGGGGAGCUGUUUUGAGGACCUGUUUUGGGAGAUCAGGAGCUGAUUUUGGGGGGAUCAGGAGCAGUUUUUGAGGAGCUAUUUUGAGGGAUCAUGAGCUGGUUUUGGGGAUCAGGAGCCAUUUUUGAGGGAUCAGGACCUGGUUUUGGGUACCUGUUUGGAGGAGCUGUUUCUGGGGGAUCAGGGCCUAUUUUGAGGAGCUAUUUUGAGGAAUCAGGAGCUCUUUUGUGGGAGCUGUUUUGGGGAAUCAGGAGCUGGUUUUGGGGACCUGAUUUUGAGGAUCUGGACCUGUUUUGGGGGAGCUGUUUGUGAUGAUCAAGACCUGUUUUGAGGAGCUGUUUUGAGGAAUCAGGAGCUGGUUUGGGGGAUCAGGAGCUGUUUUUGGGGAGCUGUUUUGAGGACCUGUUUUGGGAGAUCAGGAGCUGAUUUUGGGGGGAUCAGGAGC
rnacentral:lncRNA from 1 species